rnacentral:rRNA from 1 species
UACGUAGGGCGCAAGCGUUUAUCCGGAAUUAUUGGGCGUAAAGAGCUCGUAGGCGGUUUGUCGCGUCUGCCGUGAAAGUCCGGGGCUCAACUCCGGAUCUGCGGUGGGUACGGGCAGACUAGAGUGAUGUAGGGGAGACUGGAAUUCCUGGUGUAGCGGUGAGAUGCGCAGAUAUCGGGAGGAACACCAAUGGCGAAGGCAGCUCGCUGGGACGGUACUGACGCUGAGACGCGAAAGCGUGGGGAGCGAACAGG